CUGCAUCCUUGACUCCUUGUAUGUAGAUAAGGAAUCAAAUCGAUCGCGUCCGUUCAGGCGUCCUGAGAGCUAAUAGAAGCGUUAACAUUGCACGACGCUGGCGCUGGACAUCUGUUUCCCAAGCAGCAGCAACGACGAGCACAACACAACCGUCACCACCACCGGGAACCACACUCGCUGCUACUCACUACCAGGAGAACGGGUGACAGCAUGUCCGUACCGGGCUUGUGGGCAGCGGUAGCCGCCGUGGCCGUCGUGAUCAUCGACGCUCUCGUGCGUAGGGCCCACCGGUGGGCUUGGGAGGCUUCGCUCGGCGGCAGCAGGCGGGCACGGCUGCCUCCGGGUGACAUGGGGUGGCCCGUCGUCGGCGCGAUGUGGGCAUUCCUCUGGGCAUUCAAGUCCGGCAACCCGGACUCUUUCAUCGGCUCCUUCAUCCGACGGUUCGGGCGCACGGGCGUGUACAUGACCUUCAUGUUCAGCAAGCCGACGGUCCUGGUGGCCACCCCGGAAGCGUGCAAGCGGGUGCUGAUGGACGACGACAGCUUCUUGGAAGGGUGGCCCAGGGCCACCGUGGCGCUUAUCGGGCGCAAGUCCUUCCUCACCUUGCCCUGCGAGGAGCACCGGCGGCUGCGGAAGCUCACAGCCGCGCCCAUCAACGGCUUCGACGCGCUCACCACGUACCUGGGCUUCAUCGACCGGACUGUCGUGGCCACGCUGCGCGGGUGGUCGGACGCCGGCGAGAUCGAGUUCCUCACGGAGCUGCGGCGGAUGACGUUCAAGAUCAUCGUGCAGAUAUUCCUGACCGCCGCCGAUGACGCCACGACGCUGGCGCUGGAGAGCAGCUACACCGACCUCAACUACGGGAUGAGGGCCAUGGCCAUUAACCUUCCCGGUUUCGCCUUCCACAGGGCUUUCAAGGCUCGCAAGAAGCUGGUGUCGGUGUUGCAGGGUGUCCUGAACGAGAGGAGGGCGAGGAAACGGCUCCCCCGGUCGAGCGUAGACAUGAUGGACCGCCUGAUUGAUGCGGAGGACGAGCACGGGAGGCGGCUGGAUGACGAGGAGAUUAUCGACAUCCUCGUCAUGUACCUGAACGCGGGGCAUGAGUCGUCCGGGCACAUCUGCAUGUGGGCUACCGUGUAUCUACAGAAACACCCAGAGAUAUUUGCAAAAGCGAAGGCCGAGCAAGAGGAGAUCAUGAGAAGCAUUCCGUCUUCUCAGAUGGGGCUAAGCCUGAGGGAUUUCAGGAGGAUGGAGUACCUCUCACAGGUCAUCGAUGAGACGCUGCGUCUAGUGAACAUCUCUUACGUCUCGUUCCGUGAAGCGACCAAAGACGUCUUUGUGAAUGGCUACCUGAUACCGAAGGGCUGGAACGUUCAGCUGUGGUACAGAAGUGUGCACAUGGAUCCUGAAGUUUAUCGUGACUCCAAAGAGUUUAACCCAUCAAGAUGGGAGGGUUAUACACCGAGAGCCGGCACAUUCCUUCCUUUUGGACUUGGUACCAGAUUCUGCCCUGGGAACGAUCUUGCAAAGCUGGAGAUCUCCGUCUUCCUCCACCAUUUCCUCCUUGGUUACAAGGGAAAAAAGGACAAAUCUUACUAUGAAUAGCUUGGACCAUGAAAAAAAGGACCGGGAUAGUAAGCAGAACCCAAAUUUUGUCCGGAGGACCUGUCAAUUGAGGCUCACGAGGACAAAUCCUAACUGCCGGAUACGGUACCUUCCUCAUCCUAGGCCGGUGGAUAAUUGCUUGGCAAAGAUCACCAGGGUUUGAGAUGAACAAUAUGGUGGCCUCAAUCAAACUGUUUCUCCAACCCAGCAAAAAAACACUUGUUAAUGCUUCUCGGUGAAAGCUUUGUCUCGUCAUCACAAAUAAGCUUAAGUGGUCUCCAACAUAUAGAUGAUUUGCAACAUCUUCUUAGGUUUGUUCAUGCAAUCUCAAAUACUAAGGGCCCACUUGAUAGGGUUAUAAUUUGUAAGAAAAAUAGAUCAAAUCCUAUCUAAAGUAAGGUUUUGAUGUUUAAUAAUUAACAUGACUAUUAAAAGUAA